UACGUAGGUGGCAAGCGUUGUCCGGAAUUAUUGGGCGUAAAGCGCGCGCAGGUGGUUCCUUAAGUCUGAUGUGAAAGCCCCCGGCUCAACCGUGGAGGGUCAUUGGAAACUGGGGGACUUGAGUACAGAAGAGAAGAGUGGAAUUCCACGUGUAGCGGUGAAAUGCGUAGAGAUGUGGAGGAACACCAGUGGCGAAGGCGACUCUUUGGUCUGUAACUGACGCUGAGGCGCGAAAGCGUGGGGAGCAAACAGG
rnacentral:rRNA from 1 species